GAUGAACGCUGGCGGCGUGCCUAAUACAUGCAAGUCGAACGGCAACAGGUUAAGCUGACGAGUGGCGAACGGGUGAGUAAUACAUCGGAACGUGCCCAGACGUGGGGGAUAGCUCGGCGAAAGCCGGAUUAAUACCGCAUGUGAUCUGAGGAUGAAAGCGGGGGACCGUAAGGCCUCGCGCGUUUGGAGCGGCCGAUGGCAGAUUAGGUAGUUGGUGGGGUAAAGGCUUACCAAGCCUACGAUCUGUAGCUGGUCUGAGAGGACGACCAGCCAGACUGGGACUGAGACACGGCCCAGACUCCUACGGGAGGCAGCAGUGGGGAAUUUUGGACAAUGGGGGAAAGCCUGAUCCAGCAAUGCCGCGUGCAGGAUGAAGGCCUUCGGGUUGUAAACUGCUUUUGUACGGAACGAAAAGGCGCCUACUAAUACUGGGUGUUGAUGACGGUACCGUAAGAAUAAGCACCGGCUAACUACGUGCCAGCCGCCGCUGUAAGAC
rnacentral:rRNA from 1 species